rnacentral:rRNA from 1 species
GUCCACGCCCUAAACGAUGCGAACUGGACGUUGGGAGCAAUCAGGCUCUCAGUGUCGAAGCUAACGCGUUAAGUUCGCCGCCUGGGGAGUACGGUCGCAAGACUGAAACUCAAAGGAAUUGACGGGGGCCCGCACAAGCGGUGGAGUAUGUGGUUUAAUUCGAUGCAACGCGAAGAACCUUACCUGGCCUUGACAUCCACGGAAGCCCUGAGAGAUCGGGGUGGUGCCUUCGGGAACCGUGAGACAGGUGCUGCAUGGCUGUCGU